rnacentral:rRNA from 1 species
GAGUUUGAUUCUGGCUCAGAACGAACGCUGGCGGCGUGGAUAAGACAUGCAAGUCGAACGGGAUCAUUGGUGUAGCAAUACAUCAAUGGUUCAGUGGCGUAAGGGUGCGUAACACGUGGGUAAUCUGCCGAGAAGUGGGGGAUAGCUCGCCGAAAGGCGAAUUAAUACCGCAUGUGACUAGUGAAGGAUUCUUCAUGAUGUCAAAGCCGGGGCAACCUGGCGCUUCUUGAUGAGCCCGCGGCCUAUCAGCUAGUUGGUGAGGUAACGGCUCACCAAGGCUAUGACGGGUAGCUGGUCUGAGAGGACGACCAGCCACACUGGAACUGAGACACGGUCCAGACACCUACGGGUGGCAGCAGUCGAGAAUUUUUCUCAAUGGGGGAAACCCUGAAGGAGCGACGCCGCGCGGAGGAUGAAGGUCUUCGGAUUGUAAACUCCUGUCAUUUGGGAACAAUGUGCAUUGGUUAACUGCCGGUGUAUUGAUAGUACCAGAAGAGGAAGAGACGGCUAACUCUGUGCCAGCAGCCGCGGUAAUACAGAGGUCUCAAGCGUUGUUCGGAUUCAUUGGGCGUAAAGGGUGCGUAGGUGGCGGGGCAAGUCUGGUGUGAAAUCUCGGGGCUCAACCCCGAAACUGCACUGGAUACUGCCUUGCUCGAGUACUGGAGAGGAGAUUGGAAUUUACGGUGUAGCAGUGAAAUGCGUAGAUAUCGUAAGGAAGACCAGUGGCGAAGGCGAAUCUCUGGACAGUUACUGACACUGAGGCACGAAGGCCAGGGGAGCAAACGGGAUUAGAUACCCCGGUAGUCCUGGCAGUAAACGGUGCGCGUUUGGUGUGGGAGGAUUCGACCCCUUCUGUGCCGGAGCUAACGCGUUAAACGCGCCGCCUGGGGAGUACGGUCGCAAGAUUAAAACUCAAAGAAAUUGACGGGGGCCCGCACAAGCGGUGGAGUAUGUGGCUUAAUUCGAUGCAACGCGAAGAACCUUACCUAGCCUUGACAUGCAUCUCUAAGUCGGUGAAAGCCGGCGACUGGAGCAAUCCAGAAUUUGCACAGGUGCUGCAUGGCUGUCGUCAGCUCGUGUCGUGAGAUGUUGGGUUAAGUCCCGCAACGAGCGCAACCC